rnacentral:rRNA from 1 species
UCAGGCCUAACACAUGCAAGUCGAGCGGUAGCAGGAAGUGCUUGCACUUCGCUGACGAGCGGCGGACGGGUGCGUAACACGUAGGAAUCUGCCUGGUAGUGGGGGAUAGCCCGGAGAAAUCCGGAUUAAUACCGCAUACGCCCUACGGGGGAAAGGAGGGGACCCGUUUCUUUUAUAAGGAGCGAGCCUUUCGCUAUCAGAUGAGCCUGCGUCGGAUUAGCUUGUUGGUGGGGUAAAGGCCUACCAAGGCGACGAUCCGUAGCUGGUCUGAGAGGAUGAUCAGCCACACUGGGACUGAGACACGGCCCAGACUCCUACGGGAGGCAGCAGUGGGGAAUAUUGCACAAUGGGCGAAAGCCUGAUGCAGCCAUGCCGCGUGUGUGAAGAAGGCCCUAGGGUUGUAAAGCACUUUCAGUGGGGAGGAAAGGUUGAAGGUUAAUACCCUUCAGCUGUGACGUUACCCACAGAAGAAGCACCGGCUAACUCCGUGCCAGCAGCCGCGGUAAUACGGAGGGUGCGAGCGUUAAUCGGAAUUACUGGGCGUAAAGCGUGCGUAGGCGGCCACCUAAGUUGGAUGUGAAAGCCCCGGGCUCAACCUGGGAACUGCAUCCAAAACUGGGUGGCUAGAGUACGGGAGAGGAGUGUGGAAUUUCCUGUGUAGCGGUGAAAUGCGUAGAUAUAGGAAGGAACACCAGUGGCG